rnacentral:rRNA from 1 species
AACGAACGCUGGCGGCAUGCCUAACACAUGCAAGUCGAACGAGACCUUCGGGUCUAGUGGCGCACGGGUGCGUAACGCGUGGGAACCUGCCCUUAGGUUCGGAAUAACUCCCCGAAAGGGGGGCUAAUACCGGAUAAUGUCUUCGGACCAAAGAUUUAUCGCCUUUGGAUGGGCCCGCGUUGGAUUAGCUAGUUGGUAGGGUAAAAGCCUACCAAGGCGACGAUCCAUAGCUGGUCUGAGAGGAUGAUCAGCCACACUGGGACUGAGACACGGCCCAGACUCCUACGGGAGGCAGCAGUGGGGAAUAUUGGACAAUGGGCGAAAGCCUGAUCCAGCAAUGCCGCGUGAGUGAUGAAGGCCUUAGGGUUGUAAAGCUCUUUUACCCGGGAUGAUAAUGACAGUACCGGGAGAAUAAGCUCCGGCUAACUCCGUG